rnacentral:rRNA from 1 species
CCGCGGUAAUACGGAGGGUGCGAGCGUUAAUCGGGAAUUACUGGGCGUAAAGCGCAUGCAGGUGUUUGUUAAGUCAGAUGUGAAAGCCCCGGGGCUCAACCUCGGAAUUGCAUUUGAAACUGGCAAACUAGAGUACUGUAGAGGGGGUAGAAUUUCAGGUGUAAGCGGUGAAAUGCGUAGAGAUCUGAAGGAAUACCGGUGGCGAAGGCGGCCCCCUGGACAGAUACUGACACUCAGAUGCGAAAGCGUGGGGAGCAAACAGGAUUAGAUACCCCUGGUAG